rnacentral:rRNA from 1 species
UACGUAGGGUGCAAGCGUUGUCCGGAAUUAUUGGGCGUAAAGAGCUCGUAGGCGGUUUGUCGCGUCGAAUGUGAAAACCCGAGGCUCAACCUCGGGCCUGCAGUGGGUACGGGCAGACUUGAGUGGUGUAGGGGAGACUGGAAUUCCUGGUGUAGCGGUGGAAUGCGCAGAUAUCAGGAGGAACACCGAUGGCGAAGGCAGGUCUCUGGGCACUUACUGACGCUGAGGAGCGAAAGCGUGGGGAGCGAACAGG